rnacentral:rRNA from 1 species
AGACCCGAAACCCGGUGAUCUAGCCAUGGGCAGGUUGAAGGUUGGGUAACACUAACUGGAGGACCGAACCGACUAAUGUUGAAAAAUUAGCGGAUGACCUGUGGCUGGGGGUGAAAGGCCAAUCAAACCGGGAGAUAGCUGGUUCUCCCCGAAAGCUAUUUAGGUAGCGCCUCGUGAAUUCAUCUCCGGGGGUAGAGCACUGUUUCGGCUAGGGGGCCAUCCCGGCUUACCAACCCGAUGCAAACUGCGAAUACCGGAGAAUGUUAUCACGGGAGACACACGGCGGGUGCUAACGUCCGUCGUGAAGAGGGAAACAACCCAGACCGCCAGCUAAGGUCCCAAAGUCAUGGUUAAGUGGGAAACGAUGUGGGAAGGCCCAGACAGCCAGGAUGUUGGCUUAGAAGCAGCCAUCAUUUAAAGAAAGCGUAAUAGCUCACUGGUCGAGUCGGCCUGCGCGGAAGAUGUAACGGGGCUAAACCAUGCACCGAAGCUGCGGCAGCGACGCUGAUGCGUUGUUGGGUAGGGGAGCGUUCUGUAAGCCU